UACGUAGGGGGCAAGCGUUGUCCGGAAUCAUUGGGCGUAAAGCGCGCGUAGGCGGCCCUGUAAGUCCGUUGUGAAAGUCAAAGGCUCAACCUUUGAAAGCCGAUGGAUACUGCAGGGCUAGAGUCCGGAAGAGGCGAGUGGAAUUCCUGGUGUAGCGGUGGAAUGCGCAGAUAUCAGGAGGAACCCCACUAGCGAAGGCAGCUCGCUGGGACGGUACUGACGCUAAGGCGCGAAAGCGUGGGGAGCGAACAGG
rnacentral:rRNA from 1 species